rnacentral:snoRNA from 1 species
AAACCGUGGUGUGGGCAACAUCUUAGCAAGUCCUUGUACCUCUCCCAUGCAUCAUACAUGCUCUCAUUAUCAAACUGCACAAAGAAGAAAUGUCAUUACGCAUCU